rnacentral:rRNA from 1 species
GACGAACGCUGGCGGCGUGCCUAAUACAUGCAAGUAGAACGAGUUGCGAACGGGUGAGUAACGCGUGGUAACCUGCCUCAUAGCUGUGGAUAACUAUUGUAAACGCUAGCUAAUACCGCAUACUGUGAGAUGGACCUGCGUUUUAUUAGCUAGUUGGUGAGGGAAAGGCUCACCAAGGCGACGAUACAUAGCCGACCUGAGAGGGUGACCAGCCAAACUGGAACUGAUACACGGUCCAGAAUCCUACGGGAGGCAGCAGUGGGGAAUAUUGCACAAUGGGCGCAAGCCUGAUGCAGCCAUGCCGCGUGUAUGAAGAAGGCCUUCGGGUUGUAAAGUACUUUCAGCGGGGAGGCGUUACCCGCAGAAGAAGCACCGGCUAACUCCGUGCCAGCAGCCGCGGUAAUAC